rnacentral:rRNA from 1 species
AAUCAACGCUGGCGGCGUGCCUCAGACAUGCAAGUCGAACGCGAAAGUCCCCUUCGGGGGACAAGUAGAGUGGCGCACGGGUGAGUAACACGUGGGUAAUUUACCUUCGGGUGGGGAGUAACAGUCGGAACGACUGCUAAUACCGCAUGAUGCAGCGGCACCACAUGGUGACAGUUGUUAAAGCGGGGGAGUCGCAAGACCUCGCGCCUGAAGGGAAGCCCGCCGGCAGA